AUGUACCACGCGUAAAAUCCGGUUCUGCGCGCCCGCACCCAUCUGACGAUCGCUGGCUACGUUGUAUUAGCC
rnacentral:sRNA from 3 species